GCUAAACGCGAAGAACCUUACCUGGCCUUGACAUGCACGGAACUUUCCAGAGAUGGAUGGGUGCCUUCGGGAACCGUGACACAGGUGCUGCAUGGCUGUCGUCAGCUCGUGUCGUGAGAUGUUGGGUUAAGUCCCGCAACGAGCGCAACCCUUGUCCUUAGUUGCCAGCACGUAAUGGUGGGAACUCUAAGGAGACCGCCGGCGACAAGCCGGAGGAAGGUGGGGAUGACGUCAAGUCAUCAUGGCCUUUAUGGCCAGGGCUACACACGUGCUACAAUGGCAGGUACAGAGGGAAGCCAACCAGCAAUGGGGAGCCAAUCCCAGAAAGCCUGUCUUAGUCCGGAUUGCAGUCUGCAACUCGACUGCAUGAAGUUGGAAUCGCUAGUAAUCGCAGAUCAGCAUUGCUGCGGUGAAUACGUUCCCGGGUCUUGUACACACCG
rnacentral:rRNA from 1 species